UUGGAUAUUCCGUCGAUUCACCCCACCACCUUACUUUCGGAACCUCCACGGUUUCGCUGUGCCGAGCUAUCUUCGUCGCUCUCUAUGGCAGUCGGUCGACAGCUACCCUCUUAACGCGCUCUACUCUAGCUAGUCCUGAUUAGGCUUACGGUAACGUGGCAACAACCAGAAUCACCGGAAACCGAUCAUUUCGUUUUCGCGGAUAAUUUACUUCCGGGUAAACACCAUGACAGAACGAAGCCAGCGUCUCUGGAUGGUCGGAAAGGGAAACACGACGAAGGGCGUGGUCACAUCAAAACUCGGAUGACGAUUUUCCGAAAACCUUUUCUCAGCUGAAUGAACGUCCUACAUGAAAGGAAGAAUUUUCAUGAAACUAGUAGUACCAGUCAACGUUUACCUUCGACAAUUACGACUUAUACAGGGUGUCUUCAUACGACUGAACAAGUUCCUCUUCCUUUUUUUCUUUUUAUUUUAUUUUGAUUAUUCGAAAAAAAAUUACAAAUACAGCGAGACAUGAUUCAAGGUUUUAUUCGAAGGGAUAUAUUUUUGUCAAUAUUUUCAAAUUAUUCAUGAAUUUGUUUUUCUGUAUACAUAUAUAUUUACUAUUUUUCACGCAACAUAAAAAUAUAGCUUUGUUUACCUUUAGAUUGAUCCGAAACGAAGACAAAUAUAACAUUUAGAAAAAAUAAUACAGACAAAAAUAAAAACAACAGCGACAACAACAAAAUCUCUACGACAUAAUAUUACACAGUUUAUUGUUAAAACUUAUUUCGAAAGAUAUUCGACGAAAUGUUUCAUUAAAAAUAUCAUGAAAAAUAUAUCAAGAUACGCUAUUGAA